CCGAGUUUACAACUCCCAAACCCAAUGUGAACGUUACCAAACUGUUGCCUCGGCGGGGUCACGCCCCGGGUGCGUAAAAGCCCCGGAACCAGGUGCCCGCCGGAGGAACCAACCAAACUCUUUCUGUAGUCCCCUCGCGGACGUAUUUCUUACAGCUCUGAGCAAAAAUUCAAAAUGAAUCA
rnacentral:misc_RNA from 1 species